rnacentral:lncRNA from 1 species
CAGAGGCUUUGACCUUCACCCCGGCUCCGGCCGCAGCCCCUUUCAGGGCGAGCUGGAGCGUCUGGGAGACACAAACGCCCGCUGCCCCCCCGGCGCAUCAAGUCACUGGCCGUUGGGCGUUACUUCCACAUACAAGCUGGGCAGAAUAGAAAUGCAGAUCAGCUUCUUUAGCAUUUGAGAGCAGGUCAAUGCUGGGAAAUGCUCUUCUCAGACAGCCGCUUUUGUCUGUGAUUUUCCAGUGUUUUCCACUUUCUAGAUAUGAGCGGAGACAGGUAAUGCGACAAUGGGGAGAUAAAUGUACGGUCCCAUUUGCUGUUAAGGGAGAGGAGAGGCGGGAGGGAGGGGAGAGACCCGAUGCGAGUUUGAGAUACUCCAAAUUAAUGAGAAUUUUAUUUGGAAUCAUUACUCCCGUUCAGAAUGUGGAGUUACAAUGCAUUGCUUUUUAAAUUGAAUUGAUAUAAUUAUAAAAUUAUCUCCACAUAAUUAACUCAAGGAUUACGUUUGAUUCUAUUUAGCAUGUAAUCAAAGCCUAUUAUGUUUUAGCUAUAGGAACACCAAUUAAUUUAAAAGGGUUACUUAGACCCGGCUCCGUUCGGGAAGGCGGGGUUGGGAAGAGCUCAGGGUGGCAUUACAGCACCCUAGGAAGAAUAAAAGAAAGAAAGAAAGAAAGAAAGAAAGGAAAACAACGAAAAGAGAGUAAAACUCGAGGGGUUUCCACUAGAGGUGCGUGGCUGAGAAGUUGGGAUCCCAACUCCGCGAGGGGGAGAGUAAGGUGCGGGAGGGGCGAAGUGCGGGGUGCACGGUGCGGGGUGCGGGUUCUCGCUCUAACCCCGUGCCCUCCCUGAACUCCGUACCCACGAAAUGCGGGCGGUGGGUUGGUGGAUGCAGUCCUCAAACGUAGGGAUAUUCGUGGGCACGGGGACAGCGCGGGAAGAGGUAGGGGGAGAGGCGAUGGAGGAGGGGGAGGGAGGGCUCCGCCGAGGUGGGAACCGUGAGAGCUCGUAGCGUGAAAACAGGAGUAGGGCUGAGGGGGAGGAAAUAACAACUCCUCGAGGAGGAGAAACUCCGCUUUUGGCUUUUUCUUCGAGAAACACAGAGCGGGUGCAGCUGCACCCAAGGCGGUAGAGCCCAGGAGCUUCAAGAGAGACGGGAAGGGGCGAGAGCCGUGUCCUUCCCGUCCCCCCCACCCCCCAAACUCUCCCCGCACCGAACUCUUUUCCGGGACGCGCGGCGCCGGCCCCGGUUCCCACACAGCGAUAUAGCGGUACAUCCCCAUCUCCAACCCCUCUCGAGCCGAGGAGGUGGUGCUGGGGAUGAGGUGCCCAGGCUGGGCCGGAGGUUGCUCCGGUCCGAUUCCCGACGCUGGGGCCGUGCUCGGAAUCCCUGCCGGAGUUGGUCGGGGGUCCCCGAUGUGUCACAGAACGGCUCAGAGAAGUGUCAUCCCCCUCUUGCUGGCAUCCUCAAAACAAGAGAAAACAAACCAACCAAACAAACAAACGGAAAAGACAAAAUAAAAAUAACAAAAAUAAAGAAACAACAACAAAAAAAAGAAAAACAGAAAACCAAACGGAAAAGAAAGGAAGAAAGGAAGAAAGGAAGGAAGGAAAGGAAGAAAGGAAAGGAAGAAAGAAAGAAAGGAAGAAAGGAAGGAAGAAAGGAAGGAAGAAAGGAAGGAAGGAAGGAAGAAAGGAAGGAAGAAAGGAAGAAAGGAAGGAAGGAAGGAAGGAAGAGGAAGGAAGAGGAAGGAAGGAAGGAAGGAAGGAAGAGGAAGGAAGGAAGGAAGGAAGGAAGGAAGGAAGGAAGGAAGGAAGGAAGGAAGGAAGGAAGGAAGGAAGGAAGGAAGGAAGGAAGGAAGGAAGGAAGGAAGGAAGGAAGGAAGGAAGGAAGGAAGGAAGGAAGGAAGGAAGGAAGGGAAAAAGAAAAAGAAAAAGAAAAAGAAAAAGAAAAAGAAAAAGAAAAAGAAAAAGAAAAAGAAAAAGAAAAAGAAAAAGAAAAAGAAAAAGAAAAAGAGAAAGAGAAAGAAAAAGAAAAAAGAGAAAGAAAAAGAAAAAGAAAAAAAAAGAGAAAAAACCCUAAAAAACGGGGACUGCCUUGAAGUCCCCAACGCGCCGAUGGAUGUUUGUGCCGGAGCCAGCGGUGCCACCGAGCGCUCCCCCAUCCCCGCGCUGUUCCGGAGGGAAGAGGAAGGGGGGGAGGGGGGCUGAGGGCAGGACCCCCCCCCCGCCCCGGGCUGUGCCUUCCACUCUGUUUGUUUGUUUUCACCAAAAUAAAUAAAUAACAACGCGGAUUUGUUUAUAAAAUUGACUCGUGCCCCUCUGAAACAAAUUGUUAUUAACCUUCCCCUUCUGAGCGUUUCAUAAUCACAGAUGUUAGUUUGGAGAUGAUAUCCCAACAUCCCAGGGGUACUUUUGAUAGCUGCAUGGGCGGGGAUUGAAUGCGGAGGUCGGAUAUUAAAUCAGCGGGAUACAGAAUUACUUUUUUCCACAAACCCGAGCUGGUUAAAUAGUUUCCCCCUCUACCUCUGAUAUGCAUUUCACUAUAAAUGGCGCGGGUAUUUGCAUAUAUAGUGCCUGGCCGCGUGUGUGUGUAUCGCAUGUGCCAUACACUGCAUUCAGGUACAGCGGAGCGCAGUAACAUCUUCACUAACCCUACUGCUCAGAUGCUCACUGAACAUACUUAUGGCAAAAAAAUAUGCUUAAUUAAUUACAUGGAGGGGCUGCACAAGUGCAGUGCGGAUACAUUUCCACUCGGCCCCAGGCUGUUGGAUUUAUUUUUCAUUUCUUUGCUUGAUAUUUUAUUUAUUUUUUAAUAGGACUUCGCUGCUUUGGUUGGGAAGGAGGGAGCCCGUCCAGCUGGCAGAGAGCUGCGUGCCAGCGAAAUGCUGCCAGGCCGUGGGCCUGCCCCUGUCCCUAUCCCUGUCCCUUUCCCUGUCCCUAUCCUUAUCCCUAUCCUAUCCCUAUCUCUAUUCCUGUCUCUAUCCCAUUCCUUAGCCCUCUCCCUGUCUCUAUCCGUGUCCCCUUCCCUAUCCCUAUCCCUAUCCCUAUCCCUAUCCUUAUCCCUAUCCCUA